rnacentral:lncRNA from 1 species
CCACUGAUAAAGCACAGAGCAACAAAGGCCACUGCAGCACUCCUUGGCUUCUCUGGGAUUAGAUGGUUUUGGUCACACGGAGCAUCCCUCCCAGAAGCAUUUUCUAUUCAGUCUGUGUUGCAAACUUGUUUGUUUGUUUGUAGGUCCCGUUUCCUUAUUAAGAGAGAAUUUCCGUAUUCUUCCAGAAGGGGAAAUUCUAGGCCAUUAGAAAACCCUGACCGCAACAAUAUAACACACAAUCCGUGAGGUCUUCAAUGACCCGUUUCUUCCUAUAGAACAUGAUCAGGACUAAUGAUGUCAACCGUACUCGAACGAUCCCAGUAUGAGUGAGAAAGUCAUUGCAGUGACCUGAACAACGGGAGGAACAUAAGUUGCUGCUUUGCUGACACAGAAAAUUGUGCGUACCUGUAAGGCUCUGCCAGUGGGCAAUAGCAUGUUGUCCCAGGCAUUCUCCAAGCACAAUAGAACAAUUGUUCCCAGAAACUGAAAAGGAAGAUUGGAGCAGUGGGGAAAUCAUCCCUGGUGGAUGCUAGAUUUCCAAAUGUGCCAGGGAAUUGCUUAGGAGUUUUUUUACUUUGCCUGGAUCCAAGCCAGGCCAGCACCUUGCCGACUAUUUACACGAUAGAUGGACUGAAUUCUAC